GACGAACGCUGGCGGCGUGCUUAACACAUGCAAGUCGAACGGAAAGGCCCUGCUUUUGCGGGGUGCUCGAGUGGCGAACGGGUGAGUAACACGUGAGUAACCUGCCCUUGACUUUGGGAUAACUUCAGGAAACUGGGGCUAAUACCGGAUAGGAGCUCCUGCUGCAUGGGGGGGGUUGGAAAGUUUCGGCGGUUGGGGAUGGACUCGCGGGUUAUCAGCUUGUUGGUGGGGUAGUGGCUUACCAAGCGUUUGGCGGGUAGGCGGCCUGAGAGGGCGGCCGGCGUCAUUGGGACUAAGGGAGGGAGCAGACGGGUACGGGAGGCAAUAGUGGGAAAUAUGACACAGUGGGCGGGAGCGUGAUGCGAAGACGCUGCGUGCGGGAUGACGGCCUACGGGGUGUGAACCGCUGUCGCCUGAGACGAAGCGUGAGUGACGGUAAUGGGUAAAGAAGCACCGGCUAACUACGUG
rnacentral:rRNA from 1 species